rnacentral:piRNA from 1 species
UGCGAUGACCACUAUUUGCCAGGCGGUGU